rnacentral:rRNA from 1 species
UACGUAGGGUGCAAGCGUUAAUCGGAAUUACUGGGCGUAAAGCGUGCGCAGGCGGCUUUGCAAGACAGAUGUGAAAUCCCCGGGCUUAACCUGGGAACUGCAUUUGGGACUGCAAGGCUUGAGUGCGGCAGAGGAGACUGGAAUUCCUGGUGUAGCAGUGAAAUGCGUAGAUAUCAGGAGGAAUACCGAUGGCGAAGGCAGGUCUCUGGGCUGACACUGACGCUCAUGCACGAAAGCGUGGGGAGCAAACAGG